ensembl:lncRNA
GCUGUUCUAAUACCUAUUUCCUUCAUUUCAGUCUCAUUCCAGUCGUGAGACCAUGUUCAGAGGUGAGAGAAACUGAGAAACACAUCAGUGUGUCCUGAUUGAGAUAAACUCUGUGUUGAACUGAAUCUUGUGUGAAUCUUCAAGUGAAUCAUGAUGAUUGUGGAUGUGUUUUUCAGUGAGGAAUGAAACUGCAGCGACUCCAAACUCAGGUGAGGUUCAGCUGAUAAACGUCUGAUUAUUCACUAAUAAAACACUGCAGAUCUGAUCCACUUUCACUCUUUUCUCUCAUAUUGACUCAUAUUUGUGAUCUUAAUAUGUUUUUAAAGAUGUAUUGAAUGAAGUGUCUCCAGAUCUCCAACAUUCAGGUAAACUCCUGUGCUUCUGCGUUUCAAUCUUUAUCAUUUUUUUGAUCAGAUGUUUUCAUCAGUUUAUGUAUUCAGUCAUUCAGCUGAAUUUAUUGUCUCUCACGUGUACAGAUCAGUGGUGGUGGAUUCCUGCUCUUAUCAUUGUUCUUCUGGUUUUGAUCUGUUUCUUGCUGCGGAAAAGGAUCUUCAGGUGUUUUCAAAGGGAAGCACAGGUUAUCAGUCAGCAUGAAGCUCCAGACAACAGGGAUCUGGUGAUGGUCUGAUCUGAUCAUCCAGGAAUCGAAUCAGUGAAUCAGUUCAGUGAAUUGGUUGAAUUAAUCAGUUCAGUGAAUCAGUUCAGUGUCCAGAGGAUGAAGCAGAAGUCUAUUUCCAGACCCUUCACCGUCUCUGUUCCUCUCCGUCGACCUCCAGACGAUCUGCUGAGACUCUCAUGACACAAUCUCACAACUCUCACAAUCUGCAUUAUCAUCUUGAUCUCUAGCUUUCAAAUUCUGUCUUCAGUUUUAUGAGAUUCAAAGAGUAAAUGUGUUUUUGAUGCUCUUUAAUGUGUAGAGAAGCGAUGGUCUCUUUCUCUUUACUACUAGUUACAGAAGCAAAUAAACAUGAAUAAACAUCAGAACA